rnacentral:rRNA from 1 species
AUUGAACGCUGGCGGCAGGCCUAACACAUGCAAGUCGAGCGGAUGACGGGAGCUUGCUCCUGGAGUCAGCGGCGGACGGGUGAGUAAUGCCUAGGAAUCUGCCUGGUAGUGGGGGACAACGUCUCGAAAGGAACGCUAAUACCGCAUACGUCCUACGGGAGAAAGGAGGGGAACUCGCGGCCUUGCGCUAUCAGCUGAGCCUAGGUCGGAUUAGCUGGUUGGUGAGGUAAUGGCUCACCAAGGUCACGAUCCGUAACUGGUCUGAGAGGAUGAUCAGUCACACUGGAACUGAGACACGGUCCAGACUCCUACGGGAGGCAGCAGUGGGGAAUAUUGGACAAUGGGCGAAAGCCUGAUCCAGCCAUGCCGCGUGUGUGAAGAAGGUCUUCGGAUUGUAAAGCACUUUAAGUUGGGAGGAAGGGUUGUAGAUUAAUACUCUGCAAUUUUGACGUUACCGACAGAAUAAGCACCGGCUAACUCUGUGCCAGCCGCCGCCGUAACAC